GGUUUAUGUCAUUUUUGAAGAGAGAAUACAUCUUAUCCAAUUUUAGAACUACAUCUAAGGAGGAGGAUUGGCAAGUCAACUAGCAUGAAGGGAUCCCAGCCUAACAUUAAUAGCUACCCAGUUAGCAGCAUUGUUAGCUGUUCUAGAAUUAAAAAUUAGACUAGAAAGGAUGAGAUGAGAGAAACAUGCGAAUAUCAUGAAUAACAGUUUCUAACUACCAAGGAAAAGGGGCCAAAAAAGACAAGAUGGACUUGACUAGCUGCAGGCAAUCCGACACCUCUACUCACCUUGAAACUCGUUGCUAAUUGGAGAGCACAACCUUCAGCGACAAUAGGAAAUAUACAGGAUAAAACAUUUGCACAACCAUCAAUCACCUCUCCAAAUGAGAUCUUAAUAAUCACUCCAAAUCCAGUAGAAUUUGAAACUCUAUCAAAAGAUGCAUCAACAUUGCCUUUCACAACACCUGAUAAAAGAGGAGUCCAAGUGGUUUUCAACUGAGCCUGAGUAUCCUGUGCCUUUGGGACAGAAUGAUGUUGUGGAGAAUCUAGAAGAAGCAACUCAUCAACAGCAUUCUAGGCCUUUUUAAUAGUCAUUGUAGGAUCAGGAAGAGAGUUAUUAAAAAUGGCAUCAUUUCUAGCCUUCCAAAUCUGCCAACAUAGAAUGCCAGCUAAAUUAAUCUCAUGAGAAUUAUGUGAAGAUGAUAAUUCUUGUAAAAAAGACCACCAAUCCAUAAAAGACUAGAAUCCUGAUUCAUAAGGCGUAAAACCUAAUAAAGACCCAAACCAGAUGGGUGGUUUUGCAUUGCUACAAAAGAAUAAAACAUGCUCCACAAAAAAGCAUGUAUUUGGGGGGUUGGGGGAGGGGAGGGAGUGAAAGGAACCAAAUGUCCUUCCAAAACUUAGGGCAAGGCACACGGGAUGAGGAUGGAGAAUGAAUAGGAGGCCGGGGCAUGGCGAAUCCUUUAAAGGAGUACCGCUUCUAGAAAAAUGCCAUAUCCAUGUAAGAGGCCUUCGACCCAGACGUAAAAGGAAUUUUCACAAUUUCAUUACUUUCCU
rnacentral:misc_RNA from 1 species